rnacentral:rRNA from 1 species
UACGGAGGGUGCAAGCGUUAUCCGGAUUCACUGGGUUUAAAGGGUGCGUAGGAGGGCAGGUAAGUCAGUGGUGAAAUCCCCGAGCUUAACUUGGGAACUGCCGUUGAUACUAUCUGUCUUGAAUACCGUGGAGGUGAGCGGAAUAUGUCAUGUAGCGGUGAAAUGCUUAGAUAUGGCAUAGAACACCAAUUGCGAAGGCAGCUCGCUACACGAAUAUUGACUCUGAGGCACGAAAGCGUGGGGAUCAAACAGG